CAGUUGGAAACGACUGCUAAUACCGCAUACGCCCUACGGGGGAAAGGAGGGGACCUUCGGGCCUUCCGCGAUUGGAUGAACCUAGGUGGGAUUAGCUAGUUGGUGAGGUAAUGGCUCACCAAGGCGACGAUCCCUAGCUGUUCUGAGAGGAUGAUCAGCCACACUGGGACUGAGACACGGCCCAGACUCCUACGGGAGGCAGCAGUGGGGAAUAUUGCACAAUGGGGGAAACCCUGAUGCAGCCAUGCCGCGUGUGAAAAGAAGGCCUUCGGGUUGUAAAGCACUUUCAGUAGGGAGGAAAGGUUGUAAGUUAAUACCUUGCAGCUGUGACGUUACCUACAGAAGAAGGACCGGCUAACUCCGUGCCAGCAGCCGCGGUAAUACGGAGGGUCCAAGCGUUAAUCGGAAUUACUGGGCGUAAAGCGUGCGCAGGCGGUUUUGUUAAGCGAGGAUGUGAAAGCCCCGGGGCUCAACCUGGGGAAUUGCAUUUUCGAACUGGCCAAACUAGAGUCUUUGGAGAGGGGGGGUAGAAAUUCCAGGGUGUAGCGGUGAAAAUGCCUUAGUAGAU
rnacentral:rRNA from 1 species